AGUGAACGCUGGCGGUAGGCCUAACACAUGCAAGCCGAACGGCAGCACAGUAAGAGCUUGCUCUUACGGGUGGCGAGUGGCGGACGGGUGAGGAAUACAUCGGAAUCUACUUUUUCGUGGGGGAUAACGUAGGGAAACUUACGCUAAUACCGCAUACGACCUACGGGUGAAAGCAGGGGAUCUUCGGACCUUGCGCGAUUGAAUGAGCCGAUGUCGGAUUAGCUAGUUGGCGGGGUAAAGGCCCACCAAGGCGACGAUCCGUAGCUGGUCUGAGAGGAUGAUCAGCCACACUGGAACUGAGACACGGUCCAGACUCCUACGGGAGGCAGCAGUGGGGAAUAUUGGACAAUGGGCGCAAGCCUGAUCCAGCCAUACCGCGUGGGUGAAGAAGGCCUUCGAGUUGUAAAGCCCUUUUGUUGGGAAAGAAAAGCAGCAGGUUAAUACCCCGCUGUUCUGACGGUACCCAAAGAAUAGGCACCGGCUAACUUCGUG
rnacentral:rRNA from 1 species